rnacentral:rRNA from 1 species
CCUAUUAGGGGAGUGAAAUAGAACCUGAAACCGCAUGCCUACAAUCAGUCGAAGCUCUUUUUAGAGUGACGGCGUACCUUUUGUAUAAUGGGUCAGUGACUUAAUUUAUAAAGCAAGCUUAAGCCAUCUAGGUGUAGGCGCAGCGAAAGCAAGUCUUAAUAGGGCGAUUAGUUUUAUGAAUUAGACCCGAAAACGAAUGAGCUUACCAUGAGCAGGUUGAAAGUUGGGUAACACCAACCGGAGGACCGAACCAGUUGACGUUGAAAAGUCUUUGGAUGACUUGUGGUAAGGGGUGAAAGGCCAACCAAAUUCGUAGAUAGCUGGUUUUCCGCGAAAACUAUUUAGGUAGUGCGUUGAAUAAAUAGACAUUUAGAGGUAGAGCACUAAAUGGGCUAGGGGGAAGAGAUUCUUACCAAACCUAAUAAAACUCCGAAUGCUAAAUGUUGUUCUUCAGCAGACAGACUGUGGGUGCUAAGGUCCAUGGUCGAGAGGGAAAGAGCCCAGACCACCAGAUAAGGUCCCCAAAUUAUGAUUAAGUGUGAAAGGAUGUGGAAAUUCCUUAACAGCCGGGAGGUUGGCUUAGAAGCAGCCAUCCUUUAAAGAUAGCGUAACAGCUCACCGGUCUAAUAGAGUUUCUGCGCCGAAGAUGUAACGGGGCUAAAAUCAUAUACCGAAUCUGUGGAUUUAUAAUUUUUUCGAAAAUUAUAACUGGUAGCGGAACGUUCUGUAAGCCUGUGAAGGGAUACCCGUGAGGGAUCCUGGAGGUAUCAGAAGUGCGAAUGCUGACAUAAGUAACGAUAAAAGAAGUGAAAAACUUCUUCGCCGAAAAUCCAAGGGUUUCUGCGCAAGGUUAAUCCGCGCAGAGUUAGUCGGCACUAAGGCGAGGGCGAAAGCCGUAGUCGAUGGAAAUAAGGUUAAUAUUCCUUAACCAGAUGGUAGUGACGGAUCUUGUAAGUUGUGAGUUCUUAAUGGAUUGAACUUGCCGCGAAAAGGUUCCAAGAAAUAGCUCCAUCAUUAGACCGUACCCUAAACCGACACAGGUGGAUUAAUAGAGUAUAUUUAGGCGCUUGAGAGAAUGAUGUUGAAGGAACUCGGCAAAAUACUUCCGUAACUUCGGGAUAAGGAAGACCUUCUUGUAGGCAACUAUGGGAGGGUGGCACAAGCCAGGGAGAAGCGACUGUUUAUCAAAAACACAGGGCUCUGCUAACACGUAAGUGGAUGUAUAGGGUCUGACGCCUGCCCGGUGCUGGAAGGUUAAUGCGGUUGGUGCAAGCUAACUUCUGAAGCCCCAGUAAACGGCGGCCGUAACUAUAACGGUCCUAAGGUAGCGAAAUUCCUUGUCGGGUAAGUUCCGACCUGCAUGAAUGGCGUAACGAUUUCUCCGCUGUCUCCAACAUCAACUCAGUGAAAUUGAAUUCUCCGUGAAGAUGCGGAGUUCGCGUAGUUAGACGGAAAGACCCCGUGCACCUUUACUGCAACUUUACAUUGGUAUUAGGAAAAACAUAUUUAGCAUAGGAGGGAGACAUUGAAGCAAAGGCGUCAGCUUUUGUGGAGUCAACAGUGAAAUACCUCUUUUGUUUUUCUUGAUAUCUAACUGAUCGCCGUUAUCCGGCAUCAAGACAUUGUAUGGUGGGUAGUUUGACUGGGGCGG